AACGAACGCUGGCGGCAUGCCUAACACAUGCAAGUCGUACGAGAUCUUCGGGUCUAGUGGCGCACGGGUGCGUAACGCGUGGGAAUCUGCCCUUUGGUUCGGAAUAACAGUUGGAAACGACUGCUAAUACCGGAUGACGACGAAAGUCCAAAGAUUUAUCGCCAGAGGAUGAGCCCGCGUAGGAUUAGCUAGUUGGUGUGGUAAAGGCGCACCAAGGCGACGAUCCUUAGCUGGUCUGAGAGGAUGAUCAGCCACACUGGGACUGAGACACGGCCCAGACUCCUACGGGAGGCAGCAGUGGGGAAUAUUGGACAAUGGGCGAAAGCCUGAUCCAGCAAUGCCGGGUGAGUGAUGAAGGCCUUAGGGUUGUAAAGCUCCUUUACCCGGGAUGAUAAUGACAGUACCGGGAGAAUAAGCUCCGGCUAACUCCGUGCCAGCCGCCGCCGUAA
rnacentral:rRNA from 1 species